rnacentral:rRNA from 1 species
GACGAACGCUGGCGGCGUGCUUAACACAUGCAAGUCGAACGGAAAGGCCCUGCUUUUGUGGGGUGCUCGAGUGGCGAACGGGUGAGUAACACGUGAGUAACCUGCCCUUGACUUUGGGAUAACUUCAGGAAACUGGGGCUAAUACCGGAUAGGAGCUCCUGCUGCAUGGUGGGGGUGGGAAAGUUUCGGCGGUUGGGGAUGGACUCGCGGCUUAUCAGCUUGUUGGUGGGGUAGUGGCUUACCAAGGCUUUGACGGGUAGCCGGCCUGAGAGGGUGACCGGCCACAUUGGGACUGAGAUACGGACCAGACUCCUACGGGAGGCAGCAGUGGGGAAUAUUGCACAAUGGGCGGAAGCCUGAUGAAGCAACGCCGCGUGCGGGAUGACGGCCUUCGGGUUGUAAACCGCUUUCGCCUGUGACGAAGCGUGAGUGACGGUAAUGGGUAAAGAAGCACCGGCUAACUACGUG